GCCUGCUUUUCUGAUCCAUAAUAAUAUGGCCCAAUAUCUAAUAAGUACUGCCCACAUUUUUAACACACUCCACUCUCAGCAAAAUUAGCAAUCUCCCAAGCUUUCAGCAAUGGCGGCUUCAUCAACUCUUUCCAGUUCCAUCACCACCUUCAAACUGUCCCCGUGCCAACCACGCGCUUCCUUUAUUAUCGCCUCCGUCAAACUCCCUUCAGUUUCCUCCGAUAACCCUUUCAAUCCUUUAAUUUCUCAUUUUGGCCCAACUCCCAAAAGCCCCACCAUCGCACCCCUCCGUUGUUCCGCCGUCUCCACCACACCGGAAACCACCACCACGACCGCCACAGCAUUCCACGGCCUUUGCUACGUCGUCGGGGACAACAUCGACACUGACCAAAUCAUCCCCGCAGAAUACCUAACCCUAGUCCCGUCAAACCCAGACGAGUACAAAAAACUCGGGUCCUACGCGCUGUGCGGACUCCCUUCAUCGUACCAAACCCGUUUCAUCGACCCGGAUGAAUUCACAUCCAAGUACUCCAUCAUCAUAGGCGGCGACAACUUCGGGUGCGGGUCGUCGCGGGAGCACGCGCCGGUUGCUUUAGGAGCUGCGGGCGUGGCGGCGGUGGUGGCGGAGUCGUACGCGAGGAUAUUCUUCAGGAACUCGGUUGCGACUGGUGAAGUUUAUCCGCUUGAAUCGGAAGUGAGGAUUUGUGAGGAGUGUAAGACGGGUGAUGUGGUGACUGUUGAACUAGGAGAGAGUAGGUUGAUUAAUCAUACGACUGGGAAAGAGUAUAAAUUGAAGCCAAUUGGUGAUGCUGGUCCUGUCAUUGAAGCUGGUGGCAUUUUUGCUUAUGCAAGAAAGGCUGGAAUGAUUCCUUCCCGAGAUGCUUAGUUUUUCAAAGUGUUUGUCGGAGUUUAAAAGGUAGAUUGUGGGGGUGCAUGUGUAUCGUCUUUUAUAAUCGAGUUUCCCAUAGGUAUCGUACUCCAGGAAAGAACAGAAAAGCCAGGUUUGGCAUCAAAGGGUUCAAUAGAAGUUCCAAGAGUGGUAGUUUUCCUCGGGUAACUACUGAAGUGAUCAUUUGGUGGUGCCUCAUCUUUCUAGGAUGUCAUUGUCUAGCAGAAUUGGAUGUCACACUGAUAGUAAUUUUUGGGUUGUUCUUGUGGAGGAAAUUCGCCUUGUGAAUCCUUAGAGCCAAGAUCGAAUUCUUACUGUUGCUGAAUAUUGCUGUAAAAGAAAUCCAGUUCUACUUAUGAUGAGUAAUCCCUAAAGUAUGCCAGCUGAUCUUUUUCCAAUGUUGCAUAAUUUUUGCAUAUUCUCUCAUCUUUCAUGGUUGGGACAAAGUUCAUACACAUACUUAUCUUCUAAUAUCUUGUGAUAACCAAUGUGCUCAAAUGCUUUUUAUUUUGUGCUUUUAGUUUUACUAUCAUAUUCCUACACAAAUAACGCAUAUAUGCACGAAUGUGCAAAUAUUGUAUAAAUUGUUCAUUCUUUUCCUUUAGGUACUGAUUUUCCUGCUUUGCUUUGGUUAGUGAUACAUAAGACAUCACUGUUUUUACUUCUGUCAUGGAGACUUUAGGACUGCAAGUGUUUAUGGAGUCAAUGCAAUAUAUGGUUAAAUUGAAGGCCGCUGAGACUGUCUUUAAAUGAAGAAUAAGGGGAAAAAACUCAAAUUGUAACUGCCCCUGAUUCCAAUAGGGUAACAUGUCACUCCCCCUAAUCUUAAUCAAGAAUGUGAAAAUAAAGACACUUCCUUGAUCCCCAUAAAGAUGCAUCUUAAUCAAAUCAAAUAGGCUAACGAAUACACCAUUUGACAGCAAGGAAAUGACCAGUCAUAUAUUAAAUUAUUAGCCUUUGUCUUCAAGACAACUAUAAAUUGAACUAAAACCAUCGAUAUCUUGUGUCUAUUUGCACAAAGCAGAUAAUUUGUGAAUGUUAAGUUUAGUAGAAGCCCUAUUUUUUGUUCUCCCAUUUGGCCUUUGUCAGUGAGAGUGUGGAACUUAAAAAGUAAACAUAUGAUUGUAGAGUUACCAUUCUUAGUUGGUAUUGUAGUUGAGCUAUCCUCUUAUUAAGUAACUCUUUUGUAGUUUCUUUGAGUUGUUUCUCCUUUUGUUCAGUAUAUAUCAAUCAUUUCGGUGAGGCACAUGGCAUUUUGAAGGAAAAUAAUAGUGGGAAGUUUUCCCAUUUUCUAUUCUUCUAUACCUUGUCAUUGUACAUUCGUCAAGAGUCCACAUUGUAAAGUGCCGAUGAAGUUUUUGCCUUUAGCAUCAAGUGGAAGUGGACACUGUUGAUAUAUAAAACUCUGAAAUAUAUAGAGCUAAUAUAUGUUUUAUCUAUAGUAUCGGUUGAGCGUUGAUAAGUUAGUAAGAGCGAUUUUAUUUUCAGCAGACCUUAUUGAAUGUAUGGAAGUCCACAACUGCUGUCAAAGUUUUGCUAUCUUGUAUAGAAGAGGAUGUUUCGAAGAUAUUAUUUUAACAUUA